CAUACACACAACGUAUUACAUCCUCACCUUCCUGAAACCCUAGAUCCCAAAAUACUCUGCUCUUCUUUUUCUUUUCCAUUGUUCAACGAUAAUAGAAGGAUUCAACACAGGUCGCUAUGUAUUAUAAACCUUUAUGUAAUAAUACUAAAGAUUGGUGCCAUGGAUGUUAGGGCUUGAUGUUAAUGACAUAUCUGAAGAUGCAAGACAAGAUGAAAAUGAAUCCUUAUUCAUCGAUCAAUUGUGUAAGUGCUAAUCUUAACCCUUUGCCAGUUAAUCAUUUUUCCGUUUUUUCAGAUCUGAAGAGAAAAAGAUGACGGCGAAAAGGGUUUCUUCGUGUAGUUAAUUCAUUAAACCGUUGACGUUUUUGGAUUCGUAAAUCAUUGGUGUUCUUUAUUCUUCAUAUUUGAGAGAAGAUAGUUACUACUGGGACGAAAUCUACUACAAAACUGGAAAUAAUGGCUUUAAUAGGAAUGGUUAUGUGUUGAUAAACCUAUUUAAUUUAGAUAUGUGCUUUUAUUUAGAUUUCAUGUAAAUAAUGUCAUUUUGAAUUUGAUUAUUGUUGGCUAAUCGGUCCGUGUUUUUGAUCCGCAGUAGUCGAAGUGGAAUUGUUGGUGUUACCAAACCACGUUGUGUGGCGGUUUCCGCAAACGCAAGGUAGGUGACUUUUGGGCUUGAUGUUGGUCUCUCGAAGGAGGUCAGUUUUCAAUUUAGGCAUGACAAAAGGAUUGAAGAGAGUUGUUCUUUCAAGUUCUUUGCUGGGCUUUGAGCCCUGAUUUCAAAAGUUGAAGAUAUUCUGAGCUCUGAUUGCCUAUGACUCCAGGCAUCUAAAUGAGUUUUUGUGAUUCAACUGUUGAUUUGUUUGUAUUUCAUGUUGAUGGUUAGUUAAUUGGUUAGUUGAAUUGCGAAUUUGAUUUGGAUUUGCUAAUAUCACACAUGCGUUGCAAACCCUUACUUCAAACAAAUCGUCCUUCUGUUAGUUUCUGGUCCACGAUUGCCACCGGUUUGAAAAUCCUCUUUAUGUACUUACCUAAUUUUAAAGUUCAAACACAUGAUGAAUUGGCUCAAAGGAAACCGGACCUUGAAAAAGACAAACUGUGUAGUGUUUUUAUGUUAGCUUCUUUGGAGCAGGCCUUACUAUGAUGAACCUGAUGCAAAUCUAAAUAACAUCAGGAAGAACAAGGAUUCUUAUUUCUCUCAUCAAGGAAUUGAUUACAUGUUUUUGUUGUUUGAUUUAGGGUUGUUCACAAGCCGAGCUGAAUUAUGGCAGAUUGAUUAAAAAAUCUUUCCAAUCUGUCCGUCUACCCAAUCUGAAUAACUGCUCCGAGCCUCCUAUGACCUCUGUGAAGGUAAUGUUUAAUUUCUUGAUUUUUCGAUGAAACAGCGAGAUCUCAACGCCGACAGCUGUUGAUUCUUCAUAUCGGCAAAUAUGAACGAGAAGGCUGACGUCUCCAAGGAGCUCAAUGCGAGGCACAGAAAGGACUAAUGAGUGAGGCACAGAAAGGUGUAAUUUUUCAUCUCACACAUGUAACGGACAACCUCCGUUAAGUUUUGACAGGAAUGGCGUAGAUGUUUGCACUCAAGGUGUUCGAUGAUUUGUCUUUGUCUGUGAUGGCUAUGAAAGGAGGGUCAACAUUUUUUGUCUUCUUUAGCAGGCCAUCAACGGAUUUCUGUACUUCUUACAUGAUCUUUUUUAUUCUUUUUCUAUAAAUUAUGUUUUUGUUUUGAGAUUUUUGUGGUGAAUAUUGAUUGUGGUUUUGAAUUUUGCACAUAACAAAUCAGAUAUAGAACGUUGAGUUCAUGCUGUCAUUGAUAAAUUUGCAGACCGGAUGUAAAGCUUUUUGUGAAGAUAGGAAGUUCCACAAGGGCCUAAAGAGAGUCCUAGGGGCCUAAAGAGAGUCAUGAAGGACCAUGACAGUUCGUUGGGCUAAUGCCACACUUUGUUCCUCCACGUCAUGUUUUGAACGGGUAUUUUUUAGCACCUAUCUUAUUCCCGGCUCUAAUCCAAUCUAUAAUACCUUUACGGCAUACGCAUUUGUCUUUUCACAUUCAAAAAACCCUUAAUCGUAAUUUGAAGGAAGAAAGCAAUAGGAACCGGAUGGCGGCGGAAGGUGGUUCGGCAGGGCUAGGGAGACGACGUAUUGGAGGUUGUUGGGACCAAAUUAAGCACGUGCCACAGCCUGGUAGCUUUCUUCACACCAAAACCACAGAGAACACCCAACAACCGUUUCACUGCCUCGCAAAACCUCUCCCCAGAGGCUAAGUGUUGCAGUUGCCGACCACGAUCAUCGCAGGUGUGCUCCGGCAAUUAGGGUUUCAGCCGUGAUGGCUAGGAUUCUGGUGACCCUAGAUGGUGCAGUGGCGGUGGCGGUGGCGUUGGCAGUGGCGUAGACAUGGUGGCAUGGCUGCUGGCGCUGUGGCUUCUCUGGUUUCAUUUUUGACUUUCGCUACUUCGAAGCUCAAGGGAUUUUCUCAAUUUUCCACAUAGUGUAUACCAAACAAAAAUAUUUCAGUGAUUUACUAGAUUAUGGAUACUGAAGGUAGCAGUUGUUAAUGCUCCAGCCUUUGGUGACAUUGCUAUAUUGACCGGAGCUUACGUAGCCUAAACCGUUAAAGGAAUACAGAAAACAAAGAAUCACAGUUUCAGAACAAAGUCGAUGUGGUGGCGGAGACACCAAAACAAAGCCGAUGGAAAAAGGGAAAGCUUAUAGGUCGUCGAACUUUUGGAAGCAUUUAUGUUGGAUCUGGAUCUAACAAAGAAACCACAGCUUUAUGUGCACUGAAAGAAUUUGAAUGGUGCCGAGCCCCGGCGUCGGACGUUGAAAGAUCAGAGCUGCAGCAAAUGGUGGCGGUUUUGGAUUCUGUAGCUAUAAGCGAAUCGGUGGAUCGAUGGACUUAGGGUCUGGAUGGGCCAGGAUGCUUUACGGUCAAGAGUCUCAAAAAUGUCUUGAAAGAGGCAGGUCGGCUAGCAGUAGUAUGCAAGUUUUGGUGGAAUAGUUAGGCCUCUAAGAAGGUGGGUUUGGUGGCUUGGAGGGCAGUAAUGGAAAAGCUUCCGACUUUCGUUUCGCUGCAGUGACGAAACAUCAAUGUCCCCCCUUUUAUGGUGUGUGUUCUAUGGCGAUCUCAAUGAAAUGAGUACAUCUUACUGUCAUGCGCCUUUGCACAAACAGUCUGCCAGGUUAUUGCCCAGUGGGGUAAGCUUCAUAUCUCUUUUGCUGCAGACCUAUCCCAUUUGCUUGACCUUCAUAAAUAUGUGCUGGGAUCCGCCAAGAAGAAGAAAGUUAUAUGGGAUCUUUUUAGUUACCAUGUGGAGUUUGUGGAAGAUGCGGAACAAGGUCUUUAACCAAGGGUCGAUUUGCAUCACGAGUAUCGUGCAUGAGUUUAAGAUCAUGAGCUUUUUGUGGAUUUGGCAUUGGACUUAAUUUAGUUCCCUGGGAUUAGUGGAGUAGCUUCAGGGUUGAUAGUUAUGUAUAGUUGUUAAUUCUACUGUUGGUUUUUUUGGUGGGGUGGGCCUUUGGCUUUGUUGGUAUUUUUUUUAUAUUGGUGUACUUUGGCUAGCUGCUUGCUGAUUUUUGUUUUAUAAUAUUCUUUGUUUGUUGGGCU